ACCUGGCUGGCUCAGUCAGUAGAACAUGUGACUCUUGAUCUCAGGCUUGUGAGUUCAAGCCCCAUGCUGGGUA
rnacentral:tRNA from 1 species